rnacentral:lncRNA from 10 species
CUUUGGGGGAGUGAUCCUCUGCCUGGUAGGCAGAAUAAUGGCCCUCAAAGAAGUCCGCUCCCAAUCCCUGGAAUCUAGAAAUAUGUUGCUUUACAGGGCAAAAAUGGAUUUUGUAGAUAUGAUUCAGUUAAAGGUCUUGGGAUGGGAAGAUUAGCUUGGAUUAUCCAGGUGAACCUAAUCUAAUCUUAUGGCUUCUUAAAAUUGAUGAGCUUUUCCAGGCUGAGAUCAAAGACGGAGAUGUGCCUACCCGCAGAUCCUAGAUGGCCAUGUUUGCAACAGAGGUAAUGAUGAGCAGUGCGAAGAUGUGACUCCAAAGCCUGGAGAAGGACAGACCAGCAUCCCUGCAAGAGAUCCAACUGUCUUCUUUUCCGCAGAGGUCCAUAAUUUACAUGGGCCUGACAAAGAAUACUGUAACUUGCAGAAAUUAUCUUCAGUUCAAAUCCUUCAUUUUGGGGGUUAAAUAACUUGGUAAGAUAAUGAGAUUAAUAUUAUUGUAAAGAUUGCUAGAAAGAAUUGUAACAGUUCAUGUAUGUGCAUAAAUAACAACCUUAAAGCAUGUUUUGGGAUGAGGUGCAAAAUGAAAAUUGGGAGAGGGACUUUAGUAGCAGUAAACAGAACUUGAGAAUGGAAUAGAUGCAUACUCUAUAGCACACUGCAAUAAAUAGAAUACAUUUUAAGUUCCUAGAGAAAUUUUUGAAAAUGCCACAUUCAAAGCCAUCAAUCCCUACUCAAUUAGCAUUUCAUUUUGAUUUUGGUACUGAAGCCCAAGAUGUCGAGGGAGCGGAAAUACUUGCUGGUCUUGCAGCGGCUGUGGAGCCUGGAAUCCUGCCAAGAAGAGCAUGUGUGAGAGAUCAAAAUGUUUGCUUACAUUCCUCCUGUGAAGGGAGUUGGGAAAUAACCUAAGAAGCCCAAUCCAAAAACAAAGAUGUACCAUCCAGUCUUCUCUGUGAGAACCAAACUACAAACCAUCUGAAUGUUCCAAAAGUGUUUUGAUGAUGUAUUGAUGUAUUUUAAAUUAUCCUGAAAAUGUUCUUGGCAGAUGCUUAAACAUGUAAUUACUGAGAUGAUGUAGAAAUACCAAGUGUUUAUUAAAACAAUACAGAGUAAUACAAAUGGUAUGUUUGUCGCAAUAUAAAAGUAUCUAAAAAUUAAAGAGUUCUUUAAUGGUGGAGAUUGUUUUCCUUUUUGAAGUUAAAAUAUAAAUUUUUGUAAAAAGCACAAAUUAUUACUAUUUAUAGCUAACAUUUAUGGAGUGCUGACUAUGCUCAUUUUUGAGCAUACAUUGCCUCAUUUAGUGCAAUGUUUAGCAUUAACUUAUGAGGUAAAUGCCAUUGCCAUGCACAUUGUACAGAUGAAGACAUUGAGGUUUAGAGAGAUUGCAU